CAAUAGCGUAUAUUUAAGUUGUUGCAGUUAAAAAGCUCGUAGUUGGAUUUCGGAUGGGACUUGCCGGUCCGUCGUUUCGAUGUGCACUGGCCAGUCCUAUCUUGUUGUCGGGGACUAGCUCCUGGGCUUCACUGUCCGGGACUAGGAGCUGACGAGGUUACUUUGAGUAAAUUAGAGUGUUCAAAGCAAGCCUACGCUCUGAAUACAUUAGCAUGGAAUAACACGAUAGGACUCUGGCUUAUCUUGUUGGUCUGUGAGACCAGAGUAAUGAUUAAGAGGGACAGUCGGGGGCAUUCGUAUUUCAUUGUCAGAGGUGAAAUUCUUGGAUUUACGGAAGACGAACAUCUGCGAAAGCAUUUGCCAAGGAUGUUUNCAUUGA
rnacentral:rRNA from 1 species